GACGUAGGGCGCGAGCGUUGUCCGGAUUUAUUGGGCGUAAAGAGCUCGUAGGCGGCUCGUUGCGUCGGCUGUGAAAACCCGCAGCUCAACUGUGGGCUUGCAGCCGAUACGGGCGGGCUAGGAUUCGGUAGGGGAGACUGGAAUUCCUGGUGUAGCGGUGAAAUGCGCAGAUAUCAGGAGGAACACCGGUGGCGAAGGCGGCAUCCUGGACCGGCAUUGACGCUGAGGAGCGAAAGCCAGGGGAGCAAACGGG
rnacentral:rRNA from 1 species